UACGGAGGGUGCGAGCGUUGUCCGGAAUCACUGGGCGUAAAGGGCGCGUAGGCGGCCUGAUAAGUAGGGGGUGAAAUCCUGCGGCUUAACCGCAGGGCUGCCUUCUAAACUGUCAGGCUGGAGCACAGUAGAGGCAGGUGGAAUCCCGGUGUAGCGGUGGAAUGCGUUAGAGAUCGGGAAGAACAUCAGUGGCGAAGGCGGCUCGCUGGGCCAUUCCUGACGCUGAGACGCGAAAGCUAGGGGAGCGAACAGG
rnacentral:rRNA from 1 species